rnacentral:piRNA from 1 species
UUUCUGAGAAUGCUCGUGCAA